AGCACAAUUUGAAAGUGUCCGUAACCCUCGACGAAUUUAAAGAUUGGUAUCCUGCGCAUUGAGAGGAGCUGAUGACAGAUGCGAUCAGAGGUUCCAAGUACGAUGCAAAAACCUUUAAUUGGAGUGAAAACAUUGAACCAAAGGCUCUUAUCCAUGUUCCAUUAGAUUUUACACGAUAAAUGUCAGGUUGAUGGUGGACGAAGUUACUGGUAGCAGUAUUUUUAAGAACGAGAGAAUAAGCCAUACAAAGAACGUGGAAUAAGAAAAACUUGUUGCAAAGAGGAAGACAAAAAGCAGCAGUCAUAAAACCAGACGAGUCUUCCAGUCUCCCCAGUGAUCCUAGUACUAGCCAAACUUCAGAGUGUGAGGGAGGAAGCAGGUGCAGAAUCAAGACCGCCAACAAAAGAGAAGAACCAGAAUGGAAGAUGUCUGUAGAAUUAGACAUGCAUUAAGCAGAGAACAAGAGAGAAGAGGACAGCACUGCUAGACUCUCUAGCAAAUGCUGUGCAUACAGAGCAGAACAGGCAUGCCGUAUAGAAGACGACCAAACCACACGGAGCUCGCAUUGAACAGGCAGCGAGAAUGGGUAGUUAACAUCCCACUUUGGAUCGCCCCAACGCAAGCUCCCAGGGAACUACUUCAAAGUAGUAGUUCCAGAAGUAGAAUCCUGCAUAGAACCUACUUCCCGCUUACAGGGAACAAGAAGUGGGCAACAAGAGAUCAACAUACUUCCCAGAAAGAAGAAAAGCAAGCGAAGAACUCAACAAAUAUGAAGACACAUAUAGCAAGCGAAUAAGGCAAGAAGCGAGGAAGAAGACAAGAAAAGUCUCUUUCAAACUACAGCACAGGAAGAAUAGAGAAAAAUCUAGGUACGGUAGAAAAAAAAUUAACCCAGCAACCAAGUAAUAUUUCCUCUGUGGCCUAUAUUAUAUUUUUUUUUCGUUAUAGCAAUAUAAACAAUUACAUCAGCUAUAAUUGAAAAUCUCGUUACUUAAGAGCGUCUAAUGGUAGGUUCGUUCUUCACACUGAGUUACCUAUAUCAUCGUAUCACGGCCUACGGGAGGAAUUAUUAUGCAAGGAUAGAAAUAGUGUGAAGAUAAUCUGCCGGUAGACGACGUGAAGUACAGAAUUUCUACUUUAGCUAUAUACAGCGAGUGUAUAUAGUAAGCAUACUAGUAUUUCUUCCUCCAAAGUUAACUGUCCCUUCAAUCUCAAAAUCCCUCCCUCACUUAACUGUCGUUAUAGACCUUCAAUCACCUGAAAAAAAAAAAAAGUUAAAAUAUGUGAAAAAUAAGUACGGCAAGGUUGAUAAGUGAGUUUACCAUACUGAAGUAGCUAAAAUCUAAAAUUACUCAUUGUUCAUGAACGAGAAUUUAUGAGCAUACUGAAGCAGCUAAAAUCAUGAAUUACUCGUGUGAACAAGAAUAUCUUUUUCGACUUAACUCAUAUAUCCUCACUCACAAAAAAUGUUUAAACUUUAACUGCUGCAAGCUAAAACCACACUCAUACGAACAAGCAUAUUACUUGUAAAUUAACACGUCCUUCAAGGCUGAAAAGUAAAUUUUCCAUAUUGAAGCAGCUGCAAGCUAAAAUUACUCACGAACAGUGUGGCAAAAUAUUUUGAAGCAUUUUAAUACAUAUUUCUGAUCUAAUCAACGUCAGCUGAAACUACUACUACUUACUCAUUCAAAAGAGCUUUCUUUAACGCUACGAAGGUCUCUCCUUGAAAACCUUCAAGGUUCAGUAAUUGUGACACCGCCUAACCUGAAAUAAAAAAAUAACCAUAGCAUGUGGUUUUGGACAGGUUAGCGAAUGCGUUAACUGUUGUGACACUUAUAAUGUCCUAAACUGCUAGUUAGUUCAUGAUUAGUAUACCACGUACAGUGGAUUAACAGUAAUUAACAUACUCUCAACACUAUCUGAAGCAAUAAAACUGACAAAUGAUAUACAUAGAAGUUGAAAAUCAGUUUUAUCUGUGUUAGAUUCUGCACGACACUACUAAUGCAUCACGGCCAACUUAAGUUCAUAUCGUGGAAAACCUGACCGUAUAUGCCUCACAUUCCUACAAUGAUCUGUUCCUAAACCAAUUAGGAAGGAUUUGAUUCAGUUUUGACAGUUGCCGUGGUCACUGACGGGGAAGUGGGGGUAUGAUUAGCAAAUAGGUGAAAGGUCUGUUUCUUCUAAAGCUCCACAAAGCGUCUUUGGGGGCCAGUUGAGCAGCUUGUAGGCUACAGUCAAGAGCUGCUGAAACCUCUUGGAAAUGCC